ensembl:lncRNA
GGAAAGGCUAAUCCACAAAAACGGAGAAACGUCCAUAAUUCCAUUAUUCAUAAUCAUGUCAAGGUUUUAGGUUUUUCUGCAGUUCCAUCUCUAAAAAGUGUGAUGUCUUCCCGUCACUGAUUUCAGUUUGAAAACUUUGUAUUUAUUCACAGAUUUCUGUGAGAUCAUCCUAAAAUUUGUAACGAAAAAUGGGCUCAAAAGAGCCCUCUGCCUAACGGCAUGUAGCCUAUAGCAUAACGUGAUAUUUUCAGUAGUGUAUGCAAAAAGGUCGGAAUUGAUGGAGAGUAGGGUUGCCUAAAUGGUUUAGGUUACAUUUUAAAUGUGUCGUUUUUUUGUUUAUACAUAUGGAUGGAUGGAGGGGGCAAGCUGGCAAAGUUUGUCAUGUGCAGUUUCUGACAGGCUACUUCACAACAAAACAAUUGCAGGUUGGUCUUAGAGGGCAAACAGAAUAAUUUCACUCGAUUCAUGGGUUACCUGACUGGUUGGGAAGGGAAAGAGCUGCCGUGUUGUCCGCCGUGGUUCCCAGUCGCUAUAGUUAGCCUACUAUGCCUACUCCAAGUAGUCCUAUGUCAUGCCGCUGCUACACGCCUCACAACAAAUGAACUGCAAGCGUGUUCACGUGACACGGUGACAGUGAAAAAGCGACAGGGUUCGGGUGUCUUUGAAGAAGGGGCACAAAUCAAGCCAUUAUUUUCACACCUUUUUAAAUCGCGCAGCUUUAAAAAAAUAAUAAUAAUCACGUCUUUCAAAAGGGCACUUUUUUGGACUGAAGGCAAAAGGGCAAGUGCUUCAGCACCACCUCGUCUCUAUCUGUGCAUGCCAGUGGCAGUGUGUCCCUCAGUCUGUCCUCACUCUGGACACUUUUUUGUUUUUGCAAGUGUUUUUGUUUUUGCAGGUGUUUUUCUUUGGCAGGUGUUUUUGUUUUUGCAGCAAUUUUCUUUUUGCAGGUUUUUUUCUUUUGCAGGUGUUUUUGUUUUUGCAGCAUUUUUCUUUUUGCAGGUGUUUUUGUUUUUGCAAGUGUUUUUCUUUUUGCAGGUGUUUUUCUUUUGCAGGUGUUUUUGUUUUUGCAGCAUUUUUCUUUUUGCAAGUGUUUUUGUUUUUGCAGGUGUUUUUCUUUUGCAGGUAUUUUUGUUUUUGCAGCAAUUUUCUUUUUGCAGGUGUUUUUCUUUUUGCAGGUGUUUUUCUUUUGCAGGUGUUUUUGUUUUUGCAGCAUUUUUGUUUUUGCAGGUGUUUUUCUUUUGCAGGUGUUUUUGUUUUUGCAGCAUUUUUGUUUUUGCAGGUGUUUUUCUUUUGCAGGUGUUUUUGUUUUUGCAGCAUUUUUCUUUUGCAGGGGUUUUUCUUUUUGCAAGUGUUUUUCUUUUGCAGGUGUUUUUCUUUUUGCAGGUGUUUUUCUUUUGCAGGUGUUGUUCUUUUUGCAGGUGUUUUUCUUUUGCAGGUGUUUUUGUUUUUGCAGCAUUUUUCUUUUUGCAAGUGUUUUCUGAAGUUGCAGUCCGUUUGGCCUCUCAGUGCCACCGUAACAGGUGGAAUCAGGACCACAUUAAGACCUAAUCACCUUCUCUCUCUGUCACACACACACACACACACACACACACACACACACACACACACACAUUUGCUGUAACACAAAAAGAGAGAGAGUAUUUAAAUGUAAAGUCUGAACAUUAGUCACUCUGUCUUCGGUGUGUGUUAGGAGGGUAAAAGUCCAGCUGGCUUAUUUUCCUACCUGGACUCCAUGGUAACGUUGUCAUAAAAGCACGUCAAUAAUUAAUAUGGACUUUUGCGUGUGCGUGCUUUCAAAGUUUUCCUCACACACACACUCUCUCUCUCUCUGUUAUUACAGUCUGUGUGUGUGUGUGUGUGUGUGUGUGUGUGUGUGUGUGUGUGUGUGUGUGUGUGUGUGUGUGUCUGUUCCUG